UACGUAGGGUGCGAGCGUUGUCCGGAUUUAUUGGGCGUAAAGAGCUCGUAGGCGGUUUGUCGCGUCGGCCGUGAAAUCUCCACGCUUAACGUGGAGCGUGCGGUCGAUACGGGCAGACUUGAGUUCGGUAGGGGAGACUGGAAUUCCUGGUGUAGCGGUGGAAUGCGCAGAUAUCAGGAGGAACACCGAUGGCGAAGGCAGGUCUCUGGGCCGCAACUGACGCUGAGGAGCGAAAGCAUGGGGAGCGAACAGG
rnacentral:rRNA from 1 species